AUGCAAUAGCAUAACUAAAGGCAAUCAUGCGCUGAGGUUAAUUCAUAUAUAAAGUGAACAUACAUCUUAAGUUUAUCAUAAUUCACUUUGUUACUUCAUUAGCAAGAUUGAAUAGAUUGGUAUCUUAUCAAUACCUCCAUUAUGUUUAAAUACGUAAGCUUUUGCCUUGUCUUGGUACUUCUGUUGGCUUUGGUCGUUUCUGUUCCCGUUCCUGAUCCUGUACCAGACCCGAACCCUUUGGUUAGAUACGUAGCUAUUGGUGGUCGUGGAUACGGUGGAUAUGGCCGAAUCCAUGGCUAAUACAUAAUUAAAUGUAAAUCUUUACUUUUUGAAUACCUAAUAAAAGUGCCAAUACAGUUUUAGCUGUAUAUCAAUGUUUCGCUCAAAUUUUAAAAUUGCUUCAGAAGUAUUAUACCUACAUUAAUUUACAGCCCU